rnacentral:rRNA from 1 species
GUAGCCGGCCGGAUAAGUCUCUUGGGAAAUCUGGCAGCUUAACUGUCAGGCUUUCAGGGGAUACUGUCUGGCUCGAGGCCGGGAGAGGUGAGAGGUACUUCAGGGGUAGGGGUGAAAUCUUGUAAUCCUUGAAGGACCACCAGUGGCGAAGGCGUCUCACCAGAACGGACCUGACGGCAAGGGACGAAAGCUAGGGGCACGAACCGGAUUAGAUACCCGGGUAGUCCUAGCCUGUAAACGAUACUCGCUAGGUGUCGGCCACGGUGCGACCGUUGUCGGUGCCGUA